AAUAGAUACCCUGGUAGUCCACGCCGUAAACGAUGAGUGCUAAGUGUUAGAGGGUUUCCGCCCUUUAGUGCUGCAGCUAACGCAUUAAGCACUCCGCCUGGGGAGUACGGUCGCAAGACUGAAACUCAAAGGAAUUGACGGGGGCCCGCACAAGCGGUGGAGCAUGUGGUUUAAUUCGAAGCAACGCGAAGAACCUUACCAGGUCUUGACAUCCUCUGACAACUCUAGAGAUAGAGCGUUCCCCUUCGGGGGACAGAGUGACAGGUGGUGCAUGGUUGUCGUCAGCUCGUGUCGUGAGAUGUUGGGUUAAGUCCCGCAACGAGCGCAACCCUUGAUCUUAGUUGCCAGCAUUUAGUUGGGCACUCUAAGGUGACUGCCGGUGACAAACCGGAGGAAGGUGGGGAUGACGUCAAAUCAUCAUGCCCCUUAUGACCUGGGCUACACACGUGCUACAAUGGAUGGUACAAAGGGCUGCAAGACCGCGAGGUCAAGCCAAUCCCAUAAAACCAUUCUCAGUUCGGAUUGUAGGC
rnacentral:rRNA from 1 species